UAUCAUUAAGAAUUAGGUAAUGCAAACCUAAGAGGUGUCCACCUCGAUAAAUGGGCCCAACAAGGUAGGCCCACUAGAAUAAUAUAAAUAGUACGCAUCCCAAGGAGUAAGGUAUGUCAUUUAUCACUCUGAGAGCUGACCACCCGCUUUACUGACUUGAGCGUCGGAGUGCCUUCGCAGGUACCCCCACCAUCCGGUGUUCAGCCGAGGCCGAGGGCCGAAGGAGAAGCAGGAGGACGAAGAGAACCUCAGUUCACUACCCAGUCACCUGACCGACCGAAGGAAGGAGAAGAAGACUUC
rnacentral:lncRNA from 1 species